GUCGUGCACUCUUCCAUCCUUCAUUCUCGAGCUUUCUUGUUCUUUCGCACCGCGUUUCACAGGUCGUUAGAUACCACGGAUCUCUUGAGAAAAUUACAGAAACCCACGUGGCAAGAAAAGUGGAUAUUUGGAAAAGGUUGAGCAGCUGACAGUCAACUGUGUAUUCGAAAUAUACAACAUACGUUUUAGAAAAUGACACGUAAAAGAAAAAGUAACGACUGCUAUUCAGAUAGACAUAAACGUCGACUCGUUGAACAACAAACUAAAUUAAGUAUUAUUAGAAUGAAGCACGUAUAGUACGAAAUGUAAAGUCGUGAACCAAACGCUUUUUUUAAAAUAUACAUGAAAAUAAGUAUAGUUUUUUCUCGAUUUAAACUUAUUA
rnacentral:lncRNA from 1 species